UUCGUCACACUAUCAUUAACUGAAUCCAUAGGUUAAUGAGGCGAACCGGGGGAACUGAAACAUCUAAGUACCCCGAGGAAAAGAAAUCAACCGAGAUUCCCCCAGUAGCGGCGAGCGAACGGGGAGGAGCCCAGAGCCUGAAUCAGUGUGUGUGUUAGUGGAAGCGUCUGGAAAGGCGCGCGAUACAGGGUGACAGCCCCGUACACAAAAAUGCACAUGCUGUGAGCUCGAUGAGUAGGGCGGGACACGUGGUAUCCUGUCUGAAUAUGGGGGGACCAUCCUCCAAGGCUAAAUACUCCUGACUGACCGAUAGUGAACCAGUACCGUGAGGGAAAGGCGAAAAGAACCCCGGCGAGGGGAGUGAAAAAGAACCUGAAACCGUGUACGUACAAGCAGUGGGAGCACGCUUAGGCGUGUGACUGCGUACCUUUUGUAUAAUGGGUCAGCGACUUAUAUUCUGUAGCAAGGUUAACCGAAUAGGGGAGCCGAAGGGAAACCGAGUCUUAACUGGGCGUUAAGUUGCAGGGUAUAGACCCGAAACCCGGUGAUCUAGCCAUGGGCAGGUUGAAGGUUGGGUAACACUAACUGGAGGACCGAACCGACUAAUGUUGAAAAAUUAGCGGAUGACUUGUGGCUGGGGGUGAAAGGCCAAUCAAACCGGGAGAUAGCUGGUUCUCCCCGAAAGCUAUUUAGGUAGCGCCUCGUGAAUUCAUCUCCGGGGGUAGAGCACUGUUUCGGCAAGGGGGUCAUCCCGACUUACCAACCCGAUGCAAACUGCGAAUACCGGAGAAUGUUAUCACGGGAGACACACGGCGGGUGCUAACGUCCGUCGUGAAGAGGGAAACAACCCAGACCGCCAGCUAAGGUCCCAAAGUCAUGGUUAAGUGGGAAACGAUGUGGGAAGGCCCAGACAGCCAGGAUGUUGGCUUAGAAGCAGCCAUCAUUUAAAGAAAGCGUAAUAGCUCACUGGUCGAGUCGGCCUGCGCGGAAGAUGUAACGGGGCUAAACCAUGCACCGAAGCUGCGGCAGCGACGCUGAUGCGUUGUUGGGUAGGGGAGCGUUCUGUAAGCCUGCGAAGGUGUGCUGUGAGGCAUGCUGGAGGUAUCAGAAGUGCGAAUGCUGACAUAAGUAACGAUAAAGCGGGUGAAAAGCCCGCUCGCCGGAAGACCAAGGGUUCCUGUCCAACGUUAAUCGGGGCAGGGUGAGUCGACCCCUAAGGCGAGGCCGAAAGGCGUAGUCGAUGGGAAACAGGUUAAUAUUCCUGUACUUGGUGUUACUGCGAAGGGGGGACGGAGAAGGCUAUGUUGGCCGGGCGACGGUUGUCCCGGUUUAAGCGUGUAGGCUGGUUUUCCAGGCAAAUCCGGAAAAUCAAGGCUGAGGCGUGAUGACGAGGCACUACGGUGCUGAAGCAACAAAUGCCCUGCUUCCAGGAAAAGCCUCUAAGCAUCAGGUAACAUCAAAUCGUACCCCAAACCGACACAGGUGGUCAGGUAGAGAAUACCAAGGCGCUUGAGAGAACUCGGGUGAAGGAACUAGGCAAAAUGGUGCCGUAACUUCGGGAGAAGGCACGCUGAUAUGUAGGUGAAGCGACUUGCUCGUGGAGCUGAAAUCAGUCGAAGAUACCAGCUGGCUGCAACUGUUUAUUAAAAACACAGCACUGUGCAAACACGAAAGUGGACGUAUACGGUGUGACGCCUGCCCGGUGCCGGAAGGUUAAUUGAUGGGGUUAGCGCAAGCGAAGCUCUUGAUCGAAGCCCCGGUAAACGGCGGCCGUAACUAUAACGGUCCUAAGGUAGCGAAAUUCCUUGUCGGGUAAGUUCCGACCUGCACGAAUGGCGUAAUGAUGGCCAGGCUGUCUCCACCCGAGACUCAGUGAAAUUGAACUCGCUGUGAAGAUGCAGUGUACCCGCGGCAAGACGGAAAGACCCCGUGAACCUUUACUAUAGCUUGACACUGAACAUUGAGCCUUGAUGUGUAGGAUAGGUGGGAGGCUUUGAAGUGUGGACGCCAGUCUGCAUGGAGCCGACCUUGAAAUACCACCCUUUAAUGUUUGAUGUUCUAACGUGGACCCGUAAUCCGGGUUGCGGACAGUGUCUGGUGGGUAGUUUGACUGGGGCGGUCUCCUCCUAAAGAGUAACGGAGGAGCACGAAGGUUGGCUAAUCCUGGUCGGACAUCAGGAGGUUAGUGCAAUGGCAUAAGCCAGCUUGACUGCGAGCGUGACGGCGCGAGCAGGUGCGAAAGCAGGUCAUAGUGAUCCGGUGGUUCUGAAUGGAAGGGCCAUCGCUCAACGGAUAAAAGGUACUCCGGGGAUAACAGGCUGAUACCGCCCAAGAGUUCAUAUCGACGGCGGUGUUUGGCACCUCGAUGUCGGCUCAUCACAUCCUGGGGCUGAAGUAGGUCCCAAGGGUAUGGCUGUUCGCCAUUUAAAGUGGUACGCGAGCUGGGUUUAGAACGUCGUGAGACAGUUCGGUCCCUAUCUGCCGUGGGCGCUGGAGAACUGAGGGGGGCUGCUCCUAGUACGAGAGGACCGGAGUGGACGCAUCACUGGUGUUCGGGUUGUCAUGCCAAUGGCACUGCCCGGUAGCUAAAUGCGGAAGAGAUAAGUGCUGAAAGCAUCUAAGCACGAAACUUGCCCCGAGAUGAGUUCUCCCUGACUCCUUGAGAGUCCUGAAGGAACGUUGAAGACGACGACGUUGAUAGGCCGGGUGUGUAAGCGCAGCGAUGCGUUGAGCUAACCGGUACUAAUGAACCGUGAGG
rnacentral:rRNA from 1 species